AUUGAACGCUGGCGGCAGGCCUAACACAUGCAAGUCGAACGAGUGGCGGACGGGUGAGUAAUGUCUGGGAAACUGCCUGAUGGAGGGGGAUAACUACUGGAAACGGUAGCUAAUACCGCAUACCAUCAGAUGUGCCCAGAUGGGAUUAGCCUGUUGGUGGGGUAACGGCUCACCAAGGCGACGAUCCCUAGCUGGUCUGAGAGGAUGACCAGCCACACUGGUACUGAGACACUGUCCAGAGUCCGACGUGAGGCAGCAGUGGGGAUUAUUGCACAGUGGGCGCAGGCCUGAUGCAGCAAUGCCACGUGUAUGAAGAAGGCCUUCGGGUUGUAAAGUACUUUCAGCGGGGAGGCGUUACCCGAAGAGGAAGCACCGGCUAACUCCGUGCCAGCAGCCGCGGUAAUAC
rnacentral:rRNA from 1 species